rnacentral:misc_RNA from 1 species
GAUGAAGAACGUAGCGAAAUGCGAUAAGUAGUGUGAAUUGCAGAAUUCAGUGAAUCAUCGAAUCUUUGAACGCACAUUGCGCCCCUUGGUAUCCCGAGGGGGAUGCCUGUUCGAGCGUCAUUUCACCACUCAAGCCUGGCUUGGUGUUGGGCGACGUCCUCUUUGGGGACGCGCCUCGAAACGCUCGGCGGCGUGGCACCGGCUUUAAGCGUAGCAGAAUCUUUCGCUUUGGAAGUCGGGGCCCCGUCUGCCGGAAGACCUGCUCGCAAGGUUGACCUCGGAUCAGGCAGGGAUACCCGCUGAACUUAAGCAUAUCAAUAAGCGGAGGA